GAACGCUAGCUACAGGCUUAACACAUGCAAGUCGAGGGGCAGCACAGUGUAGCAAUACAUGGGUGGCGACCGGCGCACGGGUGAGUAACGCGUAUCCAACCUUCCCCUUACUCAGGAAUAGCCCGUUGAAAGACGGAUUAAUGCCUGAUGUUCUCUAUUUCCGGCAUCGGUAAUAGAGCAAAGAUUCAUCGGUGACAGAUGGGGAUGCGUCUGAUUAGCUUGUUGGCGGGUAACGGCCCACCAAGGCAACGAUCAGUAGGGGUUCUGAGAGGAAGGUCCCCCACAUUGGAACUGAGACACGGUCCAAACUCCUACGGGAGGCAGCAGUGAGGAAUAUUGGUCAAUGGACGCAAGUCUGAACCAGCCAAGUAGCGUGCAGGAUGACGGCCCUAUGGGUUGUAAACUGCUUUUAUGUGGGAAUAAAGUCAGGGACGUGUCCCUGUUUGCAUGUACCACAGGAAUAAGGACCGGCUAAUUCCGUG
rnacentral:rRNA from 1 species